UACGUAGGGCGCAAGCGUUGUCCGGAAUUAUUGGGCGUAAAGAGCUCGUAGGCGGCUUGUCACGUCGAUUGUGAAAGCCCGAGGCUUAACCUCGGGUCUGCAGUCGAUACGGGCUAGCUAGAGUGUGGUAGGGGAGAUCGGAAUUCCUGGUGUAGCGGUGAAAUGCGUAGAUAUCUGGAGGAACACCGGUGGCGAAGGCGGCAUCCUGGACCGGCAUUGACGCUGAGGCGCGAAAGCCAGGGGAGCAAACGGG
rnacentral:rRNA from 1 species